UACGUAGGUGGCAAGCGUUGUCCGGAUUUACUGGGCGUAAAGAGCGCGCAGGUGGCCUCAUAAGUCCGCUGUGAAAGUCGGGGGCUCAACCCUCGGAUGCCGGUGGAUACUGUCGGGCUUGAGUACGGAAGAGGCGAGUGGAAUUCCUGGUGUAGCGGUGAAAUGCGCAGAUAUCAGGAGGAACACCAAUUGCGAAGGCAGCUCGCUGGGACGUAACUGACGCUGAGACGCGAAAGCGUGGGGAGCAAACAGG
rnacentral:rRNA from 1 species